rnacentral:rRNA from 1 species
AUGAACGCUGGCGGCGUGCCUAAUACAUGCAAGUCGCGCGAACAGACGAGGAGCUUGCUCCUCUGACGUUAGCGGCGGACGGGUGAGUAACACGUGGAUAACCUACCUAUAAGACUGGGAUAACUUCGGGAAACCGGAGCUAAUACCGGAUAAUAUAUUGAACCGCAUGGUUCAAUAGUGAAAGACGGUUUUGCUGUCACUUAUAGAUGGAUCCGCGCCGCAUUAGCUAGUUGGUAAGGUAACGGCUUACCAAGGCAACGAUGCGUAGCCGACCUGAGAGGGUGAUCGGCCACACUGGAACUGAGACACGGUCCAGACUCCUACGGGAGGCAGCAGUAGGGAAUCUUCCGCAAUGGGCGAAAGCCUGACGGAGCAACGCCGCGUGAGUGAUGAAGGUCUUCGGAUCGUAAAACUCUGUCAUUAGGGAAGAACAAAUGUGUAAGUAACUAUGCACGUCUUGACGGUACCUAAUCAGAAAGCCACGGCUAACUACGUG